rnacentral:lncRNA from 1 species
AUACUUUAAAAAUCAUUUAUUUGAUCAUCACAAUGCCUGGCACAAAGUAAGUGCUCAAAAAUAUUACCUGAAUGAAUGAAAAGUUUGUCUCGUCAUUUACCGUAUGGUAGCUCAGUGGGCCCAAACUCCCUUCCAUGUUGUUGGAUUAGAUUCUAAUACCCUCGACCUCAGGAACCUCUGAGAAUCAUUCCCCACCUUCAGGUGCUUGGUAUACACAGCAGGAUCUGAGUCACACGAGUGUGGCUUUGCAUCAAGCUGUGAGAACAUUCCAGAUGUGCUGAUGGGUUUCAUGGAAAAAUUCAAAUUUAACGAUAGUAGAGAUGGUUUGAGGAAUGCAUCUCUACAGGGUUAUCUUAACCUCAUGGAUAGGAUGCUAAGUAUAUUUAACUGAGUGCCUAUUGCGUGCUGUAUACUAUGAUAAGCUUUGCAGAAGGUACAAAACUCAAAAAUGAUCUCUCCCCUCAAAGAGCUUUUCAUCUGGUAGAUGUGAUGAUACCCAAGAAUCAUUUAUGAUACAAGACAAUGUGUGAUAAAUGCUAUAAAGUGAUGUAAAAACACUUCGGGCAGCAGAGAGAGUUUACUUUUGGCUUCAAGAAUGUCACUGUGUUUGAGCUAGAACUUAAGGAAUAAGCACAAUGUCUUUUUUCUGACUUCUGGUUUACAAUCCCACAUGGACUACAUACCUGGAAAAUAGAGAAAGAAUAAGGGGAAAAGGGGGAUACUGGUGCUAUUGCAAAGGGUGUGCAUGGGCAGAGGGAGGGUGUACCCCAUAACCGGCCUGGCUGAAGCAGUUCCAGGUGUGGAGAAGCCCAGGACACAUUAGGGUGAGAGAUUCUGUGUCAACCACCUAUGUUGGACCUCGGCACACCUACCAUCUUCUCUCUGUACUCUGCUUGGAUAGCCUCACCCUGAAUCUUUGCCCUAGAAAGAAUCUAGAAAACAAAGCCUGCAGCAGAUCUCACGUGUGAAGACAUUAUUGGAAGGUGUCAUCUCAAGGCAGCAAGAGUGAAGAAGCUGAGAAGGGUUGAGAGUGGGUACCAGGUGGCACUGAUGCAGCUGGUCACAGUGCACAGGCUCAGUGGUGAGGAGGGGUGUCCAGACAGGCAUGGAACUUUAUUCCCUGGGAGAGUCCAUCAAGGAGAGGAAGACAGGGGAGGUUACCAGCCUGCCUCUGCCCAUCAGCUAACUCUUGUUGGUCAAAUGGACUCCACAGGUCAUGAGCUCCUUUAUACGUCAGAGUUACCUGGCCAGAUCCCCCAGGCAGCCAGGAACAGAAAGGCAUGACAUCUGAGCCCAGAAAUGGAGGGACACACCACAGCCUUUGUGGGCAGUCAGAUGGGACAUGGGGCCUGGAUUGGCAGAGGCUCUUUCUUCAGUGCAUGUGAUGGGAGCUGGCCCACACUCUGGGGGUGCUGGGACAACAGGCAGUGCCAAGAAGUAAAGUGACUGUGGCAGCAGCCGGGCUCCCCACCAAGCAAAGAGCUCAAUCCCUAAGGUCAUGAGGGGGCUGAGCAAGUCUGAGGAGGGCUUAAACUGAGUCUGGUGAAAGUGUAUGUUUGAAUGAUUUUCGGGGUCAAAAGUUACAUCCUCCAUGCAUUAUGUCCUGAUUUUUCCACACGGGCAUUCAAAUUUUCUUUGUUUGUAUAAUUUUGAAGUUACUGUUUUUUAUGAAAAUAAUUCAUUUUCCUUUAUUGUCCUUCUACUAAAGCGUGAACAACCCGCUGUCAGAACUAGGUGCCAUUCCUCUCUGUGAACGGUAGCUCUGAGCAUCAAGCUCGGAGCAGUAGGUGCUGAAUAAAUUAAACUGGGCACUAAUGAAGAUCAUCGCUAAAAUGUUAAACACAGUAAAAAAGGACAAGGAGAGCACCCUGGAGGAAGAGGAAGGUUUGCAGAGUUUGUGAGGAAAGUUAGCAAUCUAAGAGAGGUAGAGGAGGAGAAUACCAGAAUUCCAGUGACAAUGGCCCCUGCACAAAGAUGCCUGGAGCUCUUAGUAGAGUUAGGGACCUAGACAUCACAGUGGAAGGAGUGUGGAGUAGUCUGUGAGGAAGAGGAGUCAAUUCAUGAAAAAUAAACCCUCAUCAAACAAACAGUGAGAUAUGAGCUAUCUAGGUCUUUUCAAAACCUAUUCAAGAGCAAUCAAGAUCACAGAAGCAGAAGGAGAAAGCAAUGCUUUCCUCUAAGUAAGUUCCAUCCUUGGCUAAUUUACAUCCCAAGAAAGCUACAUGAUUCCUUUUAGUUAGCUCUUCCUAAAUGCUCCUCAAUGGAAGGCAGCCUAACACUACACUCACCAAAAGUCACUUAAAAACAUAGCCAGUAAUACAAAACCUCGUCUGUACUUCAUAUAAAGUUGUUGGGUAGACUCUGAUGAUUGGGUCGCGCAUGGUCGCCUGUAUAAAUUGCCCCAUGAGAGAAAUUUCUCUUGGAAUUUAGUACAGGGAAAAUGUCCCCCAUGAGGUAGCCCAUGUGAUCAAUGGCUUUAGCCUCAGAGUCCCUGCUAUGCUAUUUUACUCGUGGAAAUCAGAAAGCCUAUUCUGUCAUUUGCUCUCUGACUCAGGGUAGGUCCCAAGAGGGGAAAGCAAAAAUCAAGUCAAGUAUUAUUAGACCUUUGGUUAAGCAGCACAUAGUAGGCUUUCAGUAACUGUUAGUUCCCCUUAAGCCUCCUUUACAUUUGGGCAAUGAAAGUAAUGGAAGUAGUCACAGUUGGCACAUUUGGCUGUCAGAAUACCCAAAGCCUAAUUUUACUUUCAAUUAGAGCAGAUAUUAUCAUAGCUGGCAUUACAGCUUCCCUGGUUUUUCUCAACCUUGUUUUUCCUUUUAAUUCAUCAUGUAUUACUCUUAUUUAGUAGGCCUUUUUGUCAGAAAUCCAUCUGAAAUUCUUUCUUGGAAUCAAUCAUUCUUUAAUGAAUAAACUGCUCUCAAAUAAAUUUGGCACACUGUGGAAUAUUCUGCAGCUACUAAAAGGGCAAUUACGAAAACUAUUUAGAAAUCCAGAAACUGUCUGCCUGAGAUAAAAUGUUUAUUUGACUGUACAAUGACACAUAUACUCUAACAGCAACCAUGUAAAUAUCUGUAUUUGAAGAGGAUAUGAAGGAACCCCUGCUUCCAGCCAAGAUGGACACAGGGACCAAGUAUACCCUCCCAUGCAAAACA